AAAUUUUAAAAUCUUUUUAAAAAGUUCUAGGGGAACACUAAGGUAUAAGAGCUGGAAGAUAAUGAGGAAUAGCUUUAGAACCUGAAAGAAAAUAGAAUGGUAAAAUGAGAAUCAGGAAGAAACAGUGUAAUCAAAGCUUUAAAAAAGUUAAUCAAGUUAGAGCAAAAAGCAUCCACUAGAUUUGGAAAGUAAAAUACCAAGUAGUGAUCUUAGCAAGAGCACCUGCAAUUAAUUAAUGGAGCUAAAGUGAAAUUGCUGGGGUAGGUAAGAAAGUUGAGAUCAGUGAUAUGGAUUCUUCAUUUAUUUAAAAAAAAAAAAAGAAAGAACUGGGUGCUUAUUUAUUGUGCCAGGCAUUGAACUAGGAUAUAUUAAGGUGCUAGGAACUGUGGGGAUAUACUGAUGAGAAGACAGCCUUCACAGCAAUUACAGUCUGCUAGGGAAGACCAGUCAUGACUGUAUUAGUAAAGGAUUUUAACUUCAUGGAAUAGAAACCAUUGCUUAUCCUAAAACAAAAAGAAAAUGUUAGAUAGUUCACAGAAUUGUUGGAAGGCUGAAGAAAUAGGCUCAGAAACUAUGUACUAAAGAAAGAAACCAUGGAAAAUGAUGUCACAAAACUAGUCCAGUGAAAACCUACCCCUAGCUGCUACAACUGGCACCACCUAUCUCACCAGCACUGAACAACAGAUGGUGCCUCCAGUCUCAGUGCUCCAGUUCUGCCAGCCCCCAAACUGAUUUAAUCAAGGAACCCUUGGUUUAGGGGAUACUGCAUCUUGCCCAUUAUACACCCACCUUCCCUUUUAGAGAUUCCCAGUGCACAACAGCAAACAAAAAGCUCCAAGAAGUUUUCUCCAUUUUAUUAGGUAAUCUAUGUAACUCUGCUGAACAAAUUGUUUCCCAAAUUUAUUGGCUUCAGAAUACUUUCAUCUUGUAUCACCUAGAAAUACUCCAUAAUUUGAAAGCACUGCUAAAGAGGGGUAACAACAUGUAUGGAAUUGAUGUAAACUAUGUUGAUAAUGAUAAUAAACAUGGAUUAGUAGUAAAGACCACAGUAAAAAAAUAUACAUGACACCUAGAAAUGUAUAUGUAGAAAGACACGAACAGCAAAAAUGAAGCUCAAAUGAAAGAAACAUUUUAUUAUUUAUACAGGAAAAACUGGUAAGAGAAAAAAGAAAGGCAGUUCAAAAAGCCUUGGGUGCUAUGAAUGCAACCCAUUUUUCAAGGCCCUAUUCAAUGCUAUUUUCUCUAUAGAGUUUCAUAUGUUCUGUCUCUAUCAAAAAAAUAACAGUAGAAAGAGAUGAACAUGAGCUGGAGUGAGAAGGACCUACAUUCGCCUCCUGAUCGGUCACUUACUAGCUAAGUCAACUAGCCAAUAUGUGCCUCACAUGUUUGAUGAAUACAAUGAUGAAAGUAAUGACAGUAAUACUGGUUACCAUUUAUUGAUUGCUUAUUACAUACCAAAUCCUUUCCAUACUCACUACUCACAUUUUAAGUGGAAUCAUCCUCAUUUUACAGGGAAUGAAACUGAGGCUCAGUGAAUUUAAGCAUUUUUUUCUAUGAUCUUGAGAGAUUUUAAACAUUGAGAGGAAUAAGGUAUAAAGUAUUCUAAAAGCUAUAAAGCACCAAACAAAUUUUAGGUGUUAUUAAAUACCUUUGCUAUUUGCAUAUACAUGCUUAUUAGUCUUUCUUACAAAGAAUAUUCUUAGUGAUACAGUUAUCAAGCUAUGAGAAAUGUGAACAUUAGUUCCUUGGGAACUAAACACUGAUUGACAGCUUCUUUCUACUGCAUGAUUUCAAAACUUGAGACUUAGUGUUAUCAGUAUUUUUGGAAGGUUCGACGAGUCAAAUGCUUUGACCAAAAUGAUCAUUGAAUUUAAGUAAAAAAAAGGCUAUGUUUCUAUUACAGUAUUAACUAAAUGGUAAUACCCAUGUUCCAGUACAUUCUUCAAACACAUCCCAAGGAACAAUCUUUCUAAUUAAAAGAAUAAAUAUACAAGUCAUAUUAAAGCGACAGACAUUUUAGAGCCAUAGAGGAUCAGUGUUCCAGUGUCUGAAAUGAGACUGGCCUAGGGACUUGACUGGACUAUUUUGGGUUCAAUGUUAUGGGUAACUCAUUGUAUCUCAGAAAAGCUUUAACUUCUUUUGUGUAUGUUUGGUCUGAAGCAGCUCUUGACGUGUCUCUCUCCAUGAUUUGUGGUAUCUGAUCACUCAGACCCUAUGUGUUCUUCCAUAAGGAUAUUAUUCACCUGUAAAAGUGCCAGUUACCCUGCUAAGGUGCUGGGGAUAAAAAAGUUAAUAGGACAUAACAUCUAUCUUCAAGGAACACAGUCUAGUAGGGAAGACAUUAUCAACACUGAGAUUACUAGCCAAUAUCUAUUUUAUUUUGUAUUCUUAGUUUUCUAGAUUAAACAAAACAGUCAAAUGGGAUAACUCAUUCUCUUUUUCCAUUUUGGGCAUCACAUUUUAUAAAACAAAUAAAACAAAAAGGCUAUUUCUGAGAAAUUAAAAGGUUAAAAGGCAAUUCAUACAAUAUAACCAUAUUUUAAGCAGGAAGGCAUCCUUAAAAUCAUUCAAUAGCUUCCAAAUAUUUAGAAUGAAAAACAAACUCAUUACCAUAAUCAAUGAGCCCUCUUUGAUCUGGCCUCAGAUUACCUAUGAUCUCAUGUCAUAUUAUUCUCUUUGCUCACCAGAGUCCAGCUAUAAGCCUUAUUUCUGUCUUAGGGACAGAAAACCAUCCUGUCUUAGGGCCAUUUCUAAUCAUUCAAUAAGAAAAAAUUCACAUGUCCCUGUCCCUAUCUUGUUUAUCACACAUUCCAGUUUAUUUCUUCAUAGCACUUCAAAUUAUCUAACAGAAUAUUGUUUAAUAUUUGUUUAUUGUUUAUCUCCCUCUUCUAAAAUUAGAAUGUCAUGAUAACCUCACAUCUGUUAGAAUGGCUACUAUCAAAAAAAGCAAAACAAAACAAGAAAUAAG